rnacentral:rRNA from 1 species
AGUGAGCGCUGGCGGUAGGCCUAACACAUGCAAGUCGAACGGCAGCACAGUAAGAGCUUGCUCUUACGGGUGGCGAGUGGCGGACGGGUGAGGAAUACAUCGGAAUCUACUUUUUCGUGGGGGAUAACGUAGGGAAACUUACGCUAAUACCGCAUACGACCUACGGGGGUAAGCAGGGGAUCUUCGCACCUUGCGCGAUUGAAUGAGCCGAUGUCGGAUUAGCUAGUUGGCGGGGUAAAGGCCCACCAAGGCGACGAUCCGUAGCCGGUCUGAGAGGAUGAUCGGCCACACUGGAACUGAGACACGGUCCAGACUCCUACGGUAGGCAGCAGUGGGGAAUAUUAGACAAUGGGCGCAAGCCUGAUCCAGCCAUACCGCGUGGGUGAAGAAGGCCUUCGGGUUGUAAAGCCCUUUUGUUGGGAAAGAAAAGCAGCAGGUUAAUACCCCGCUGUUCUGACGGUACCCAAAGAAUAAGCACCGGCUAACUUCGUG